rnacentral:rRNA from 1 species
CUGCUGCCUUCCGUAGGAGUCUGGUCCGUGUCUCAGUACCAGUGUGGGGGACCUUCCUCUCAGAACCCCUACGCAUCGUCGCCUCGGUGGGCCGUUACCCCGCCGACUAGCUAAUGCGCCGCAUGCCCAUCCCCCGCCGGAAUCGCUUCCUUUGGCCGCAGACCCCAUGCAGGUCCGCGGCGUUACGCGGUAUUAGUCGGGAUUUCUCCCGGUUAUCCCCCUGCGGGGGCAGGUCGCAUACGUGUUACUCACCCGUGCGCCGGUCGCCGGCAGG